GACGAACGCUGGCGGCGUGCUUAACACAUGCGAGUCGAACGGAAAGGACCUGCUUUUGUGGGGUGCUCGAGUGGCGAACGGGUGAGUAACACGUGAGUAACCUGCCCUUGACUUUGGGAUAACUUCAGGAAACUGGGGCUAAUACCGGAUAGGAGCUCCUGCUGCAUGGUGGGGGUUGGAAAGUUUCGGCGGUUGGGGAUGGACUCGCGGCUUAUCAGCUUGUUGGUGGGGUAGUGGCUUACCAAGGCUUUGACGGGUGGCCGGCCUGAGAGGGUGACCGGCCACAUUGGGACUGAGAUACGGCCCAGACUCCUACGGGAGGCAGCAGUGGGGAAUAUUGCACAAUGGGCGGAAGCCUGAUGCAGCAACGCCGCGUGCGGGAUGACGGCCUUCGGGUUGUAAACCGCCUUCGCCUGUGACGAAGCGUGAGUGACGGUAAUGGGUAAAGAAGCACCGGCUAACUACGUG
rnacentral:rRNA from 1 species